UAAUUUCGUUCAUUUUAAUUUUAAUCAACAAACAUCAAUGCAUUUUAUUAUCUUCUUAUUUCUUUUUCAGGCGAUGAACCUAGCAACGUUGGCAUACAUGAUUAUGCUCUGUUAUACGAUGUUUCAGUACGGGACACGGUACGGUUUCUUGAGAGUUAAAGAGUAUAUCAUCAUUGCAGUUUUUUUCGCAGUCUUACUGGCAGAUACUUGUUUCAUUAUUGUCUUCAUUGUUGGUGGUCAUCAGAAAAGCGUCAAGCUAUUAAAAGUGUCAUAUAUUUACAACAUGGUGAUUCUGGGUCUCAUUCUGCUGGGCCAUCUUAUACAUAUCUGCCUGAUGUCGUACUACACCAUCAAGUUGUUGUCAGAGCAUUUGGAAUAUACCCUGUUCGUCUUUGAUUUCAUGAUCGGCGCUGGACUCGCAUUCAGUGUUAUUUUCGUACAGAUUUACUUAAUCUUGCUAAUACGCAGCGAGAUGAUAAAGCUGCAGAAUCAGUCGCUAAAAAUGCAGUUCUCAAACCGUUUGGAUGCAGGCGAGCCGCAGUGCACACUCCAUACGAUGGAUGGUAACCAAUGCACGGACGAGAAACGAGUGCAAAACUGCGUUUGAUUGCACAGAUGAGAAA